rnacentral:tRNA from 1 species
AGAUGUGUAGUUCAGUGGUGGAGCACUUACCUUGCAUGUAUGAUGCCCUGGGUUCAAUUCCAAGUACUGCAA